rnacentral:rRNA from 1 species
UACGUAGGGGGCAAGCGUUGUCCGGAAUUAUUGGGCGUAAAGCGCGCGCAGGCGGUUUUUUAAGUCAGGUGUAUAAGCCCGGGGCUCAACCCCGGAUCGCACCUGAAACUGGGAGACUGGAGUGCAGGAGAGGAGAGCGGAAUUCCACGUGUAGCGGUGAAAUGCGUAGAGAUGUGGAGGAACACCAGUGGCGAAGGCGGCUCUCUGGCCUGUAACUGACGCUGAGGCGCGAAAGCGUGGGGAGCAAACAGG